UGGGGAAUAUUGCACAAUGGGGGGAACCCUGAUGCAGCGACGCCGCGUGGGCGAGGAAGUAUUUCGGUAUGUAAAGCCCUAUCGGCAGGGAAGAAGAAUGACGGUACCUGACUAAGAAGCACCGGCUAAAUACGUGCCAGCAGCCGCGGUAAUACGUAUGGUGCAAGCGUUAUCCGGAUUUACUGGGUGUAAAGGGAGCGCAGGCGGCGCGUUAAGCCUGGUGUGAAAGCCCGCGGCCCAACCGCGGGACUGCAUUGGGAACUGGCGCGCUGGAGUGCCGGAGGGGCAGGCGGAAUUCCUGGUGUAGCGGUGAAAUGCGUAGAUAUCAGGAGGAACACCGGUGGCGAAGGCGGCCUGCUGGACGGUGACUGACGCUGAGGCUCGAAAGCGUGGGGAGCAAACAGG
rnacentral:rRNA from 1 species